rnacentral:rRNA from 1 species
GCACUUUAAGCAGUGAAGAAGACUCCGUGGUUAAUACCCACGGACGAUGACAUUAGCUGCAGAAUAAGCACCGGCUAACUCCGUGCCAGCAGCCGCGGUAAUACAGAGGGUGCAAGCGUUAAUCGGAAUUACUGGGCGUAAAGGGAGCGUAGGUGGCUCGAUAAGUCAGAUGCGAAAUCCCCGGGCUCAACCUGGGAACUGCAUCUGAUACUGUUGAGCUAGAGUAUGUGAGAGGAAGGUAGAAUUCCAGGUGUAGCGGUGAAAUGCGUAGAGAUCUGGAGGAAUACCGAUGGCGAAGGCAGCCUUCUGGCAUAAUACUGACACUGAGGCUCGAAAGCGUGGGUAGCAAACAGGAUUAAAUACCCUGGUAGUCCACGCCGUAAACGAUGUCUACUAGUCGUUGG